rnacentral:lncRNA from 1 species
GUGGAGGAGGAUGUGGAGAAUAGUCGAAGAUCAGUGCGGCCUGAAGCUGGAGCUAGAUCUUCUGAAAGUCUGAAAUACAACAAGACUAGAGGAGUUCCAUUACCUACUAGCUCUACAAAGCCAGUGGGUCAAGCAUUCGAAGAGAAUACGAAGGUGAUAUGGUCUUUGUUAAUAAAUGGGGAAGUCUCAACCAUUGGUAUUUAUGGGAUGGGGGGAGUUGGUAAAUCCACAAUACUACAACAUAUCUAUAAUGAUCUUCUACAAAGACCAGAUAUUUGUGAUCAUGUUUGGUGGGUGAUUGUGUCUCAAGAUUUCAACAUUAAAAGACUGCAGAAUCUUAUUGCUACAGAACUUCAUCUAGACCUUUCAACAGAAAAUGAUGAUCUACAUAGAGCUGCCAAAUUAUCAAAAGAACUAAGGAAGAAACAAAAAUGGAUUCUCAUUUUAGAUGAUUUGUGGGAUCAUUUUAAGCUACAUAAAGUGGGAAUUCCUAAAAAGUUGGAAGGAUGCAAGAUAAUUAUGACAACUCGAUCAGAAACAGUUUGUCAUGGAAUUGCUUGCGAUCACAAAAUCCAAGUGAAGCCACUUUCCGAGGGAGAAGCUUGGACUUUGUUCAAGGAGAAUCUUGGACGUAACAUAGCACUUUCAUCAGAAGUGGAAGGAAUUGCGAAAGAUAUUGCAAGGGAAUGUGAUGGUUUGCCAUUGGGAAUUAUUACAGUGGCAGGAAGCUUGAGGGGAGUGGAUGACCUCCAUCAGUGGAGGAAUACAUUGAAGAAAUUGAGAGAAUCAGAAUUUAAGGACAAGCAAGUAUUCAAGUUAUUGAGGUUUAGUUAUGAUCGGUUAGGUGAUGUAGCACUACAACAAUGUCUCUUGUACUGCGCAUUAUUUCCUGAAGAUUAUUGGAUUCGGAGGAAGGUGUCGAUAGGUCAUUUGAUCGAUGAGGGAAUAAUUGAAGGAACGAUGAGGAGGAAAGAUGCAUUUGAUGAGGGCCACACGAUGCUUAAUAAACUUGAAAAUGUCUGCCUAUUGGAAAGUUUUAAAAUAGAGUAUAAUGAUAGAAGUAUCGUCAAGAUGCAUGACUUGAUUAGAGACAUGGCCAUCCAAAUACUGCUAGAGAACUCUCAUGUCAUGGUUAAAGCUGGUGUGCAAUUAAAAGAGUUGCCAGAUGGAGAGGAGUGGACGGAGAAUCUCACAAGAGUCUCACUAAUGCAAAACCAGAUCGAAGAAAUUCCUUCCAGCCAGUCACCAAGGUGUCCCUAUCUAUCAACUCUAUUUCUAUGUAAUCAUUACGGGUUGAGAUUUAUUGCGGAUUCAUUUUUCAAGCAAUUGCAUGGGCUCAUGGUCCUUGAUCUGUCUCGCACAGGUAUUAAAAAUUUGUCAGACUCUGUCUCUAAUUCAGUGAGUCUCACUGCAUUAUUGCUCACUGAGUGUUACAACUCAAGACAUGUUCCAUCAUUAAAGAAUCUCAGGGAACUAAAGAGAUUGGAUCUCUUUUGCACUCCACUUGAAAAGAUGCCGCAAGGAAUGGAAUGCCUAACCAACCUAAGGUUUCUUAGAAUGAGUGGAUGUGGUGAAAAGAAGUUUCCUAGUGGAAUAUUACCAAAACUUUCUCACCUGCAAGUCUUUGUACUACAUGAAUUUUCAAUUGAUGCAAUAUAUGCUCCGAUAACAGUUAAAGGAAAUGAAGUAGGAUCUUUGAGAAAUUUGGAAAGUUUGGAAUGCCAUUUCGAAGGUUUCUCUGACUUCGUGGAGUAUCUCAGAUCUCGGGAUGGGAUUCAAUCAUUAAGCACAUAUAAAAUUUUAGUAGGAAUGGUGCAUGAAUCUUAUUGGGUAGACGUUAUUGAUGAUUAUCCAAGUAAAACAGUUGCGUUGGGUAAUUUGAGUAUCAACGGAGAUGGAGAUUUUCAGGUCAAGUUCUUAAAUGGCAUUCAAGGACUGGUUUGUAAAUGCAUCGAUGCAAGAAGUUUAUGUGAUGUUUUGUCAUUAGAGAAUGCAACUGAACUGGAGGAAAUCAACAUUCAGGAUUGCAAUAACAUAACAAUUAUUUUAAACCAAAUAAGAUACUAAUUCGGUAAAAUUUGAUCCAUCCAAUCAAACCUAGUUCAUAUUUGACCACAUUAAUUAAAAAAAUAAAAUGAUAUUAUUUUAAUAAAAAUAAUUAAUUUAAAUUAACUUAAUAAAUAAUUCAUAAGUUAUUAAAUAUCUGCUAUAUUAAAAAAUUAUCUUAAACCAAAAGAAUUAAGCAGACAUAACAAUGAUAUAAUGCUACUUAAUAAAUGUUUGAUGGCGUUCCUGGGGUUUUGAUGAGUCUAUGAAAGUGCAUUCAAAUGCUCUGUCAUUGGAAUAAAAUGCUAAAAUGUGAAUAGAAAUAACAGAAAUUAAAGGGCAUUUUUUAAUCGAGCUUCUAUUUAAUUUGAUAUACUAUCAAGCUUUUAUAUAUAUAUAUAUAUAAUUUUGAUCCUUAAAAGUUUUUUUUUUUUAAUCUAAAACUUUAUUUUCUUGACUUUUUAAACAGCAGCCUGGAUAAACUUAAAGUAAUGUUCUUUUUCUUAGAAACAGCCUAGAUACAUUUAAAGUAUUUUAAUCAUAACUUUCCACUCACAUAUCGGAUUGCUCUGAUUCUUGACGCGUUGGAAAGGUAUCGUAAAGGGCUACAACUUAGUCUCUAAUGAGGAUUUCAAAAAAGGAACUCCUAAAGCAUGUACGUGGCUGCCAAAAAAAGGUCCUAAAAUACCAAAUGUGUGCAAGGAUUCCCGACGCUCUACUGUUUGUAGAAUUCCAGUAGUGCUUUCUCCAUGAGUCACUCUGCUUUAUUUUAAUUUGCAUUUAAAAUUAAAUUUUAUUCUCUAUUAAAUCAUUUACUGAAGUUCGGAGCUUUAAAGUGUAUGCCAUAUUUGUACAAUUAUAUAACAAAUUAAUUUUCAUUGUCUCGACAUGAUAUUUUUCCUUGUUUCUAAUUCUUCACCUGCAUUUCCCACGCAAUAUUUUAUAAUUAUUAGGGGAAUAACCAGGGAUAUAUUAUUAGUUAUUUUCUAGAUUCAUUUAAAAAAACAAAUACAAAAAAAAUAUAAAAUUCAUGACUCAUAGAAAAUAAUAAGAAUAUUUUCAUCUUGAAUUUUUCUUUUUCUAGUUGUAUCUCUUUAUUUUUUUAAAAUAAAUAUAAAAAAUAAGUAAUAAAAUAUCAGUAAUUAAUCUAUAAACACUAUCAAAUUACUCUCGAAUUAUUUACCCUGGAAUUUGGAUGAUCUAUAAUUCAAAGCGGGCAUGCUGCAUUUCUUUGUUAGGGUUUUUGUCCUUUCUACUAAUUUAUCUAAAUAUAAGAUUUAGAAUCUUGAUGAAUGAAACUAGCAUUCUCUAUUUCUUGGGAUAGAAAGAACAGAAGUCUUAUUAAAAUUAAAAAAGAAAAAACUCCUCAGGCUUUUACCAUGUACCAGGAGAGAAAACACUAUAGAUUAAAAUAGUUUUUUAUCUCUUAUUUUUUUUAAUCACUAAUUAUUUUAUUUUUAAUUUUAUCAUUAUAGAUUAUGUUGAUAGCGAUUUGAAACUGAUAACUUGUUUUAAUUAACUUGUCAUGGAGUUCUCAGGGUUUUUUUUAAAAAAAGGCUUCAACAUUAAGUUAAGUUGACGUUUGACUUGACAAAAUUUUGUUUGUUUUAAUUCAUUAAAAAUAAUUGAAACUUUGAAAAUCAAAUAUGAUACUGAAACCAGAAAGUAGCCUAUGGAGUUUUCAGGGAAAACUAGUGUGUAGAUUAGAUACCAAAUCAUACUUUAUAGAUCGAGAGCUAAAAAAAUAAAUUUGUAGAAGGGAGUUGGAAAAAAAAUAAUUUCCAUGGUUAUGGAAAAGUGCGCGAUCAUGACAUGGUUUUUUUUUAUUAAUCGGGUUAGCUUACGUAGAGUAAAGCAUACAAAAGUAACAAAAAAAAAUAUUGUGCUUUUGUUAGCUUGAUAUGCUUUCGUCCUUGCUAUCAAUUUUAAUUUUUUUGGUUACUUUUGUAUGCUUUCCUCUGUUGCUAAUAUCCACCUCAGCAUGUAGCAUCACUCUGUUAUAUAAACACCAUGGGUAUAUUGGUAAAAUAGAAAAACAUUCACUAUAAUUUGUCUCACAAAAAUUUCAUGGUUAAGUAUAAUCACUCUGAUCUAAUAUACACACUCAUAUAUCUUAUAAUAUAAUGUUUGGUAGGUAAGCGGUGGGUUGCUUCCUGGCAACUUCCUUCCUAUCAGACAAUACGUUAAUUGAUUAUUAUUGAGCUGCCCUUACUAAUAAAUAGUAUUAUUUAAGGGAGCUAGCGGCUGUACUGUAACAUUCUCUUCCACAUCUCAUCUCAUUAUACAAUUCCCUAUUUUCCUCUCCCCAUCUCAUGAUCAGUGCGAACUAGAUUUAUGUAUGCUGCAACUUUAUUAUCUUUCUAAACCAUAUAUUCUUCUCUGAUCUGUGAUUUCUCUUCCUUUUCUUUUGGCUGAUCACUGCUUAAGCAAACCAGCUAGCACUUGAAGAACAUCUUGAAUCCAGGUAAAUUAUUUGUACUUCAUCUUGUCUGAAUCUUUAAAGUAAUCCAUGAUAAAUUAAUCGAUCUUUUUCUCGGAUUUCAUAAUCCAUGCCCUGUGGUGUUCAUACUAAACUAACCCUAAACCUUGAAUUCAUUGUUUUUGUCUUUUCAAGAUUCUUUGCUGUUUUUAACUCCUUAUUUAUGGGAUUUCUUUUCCAAUACUAGAUUUUGUAAUCCAAUAUUUUUCUGACAUAAUGAUUCAAUGAAAUUGUUUUUUACUGAUUCAUGAAUUAACUUGAUCAGUAUUAAUUAACUUAAAACAAGUGACAAAUAAUUUAGCAUUAAAACAAAGAAUUAAAUAAUUAACAGCAACAUUUAUAUUUCCUAUUUUUCAUCCGAAUUUCUUUAACAAAUAAAUAAGUCAUAUAUAUAUAUAUAUAUAUUCUUAUCUAAUCUGUGCUUUCUGUUCUUUUUUAAACCUCAGAUGGAAGGAGUCCCACCGUCUUUUAAUGAGGAUGAUGUCAACUUGACAUCGAAUCAGUUCGAUUUUCAAUCACCAGAAGAUUCAUUCAAUAUUUCUGAGUUUCUCUCGUACGUCAUUCUUAAGCAUAUUUUAUCAGAAGAUGAUUACUUGCAAUUUAGUUAUUCUACAGUUUUUCUUAUUAUUCCCAUAAAAGAAUAAUGUUCCUAAUAACAAAUUAAGCAGGUCGCCACCGGAGGUUCCAGGCAACCAAAGCUUCAUGUUAUGCAAUGAUCAUGCUGGUCAGAACAUGGUGGUGGAUAACAAUGUGAUCAACGAUAGUAUUCAACAAACAACUGAUCAGUUUCCACCUUCAUUUCCUCAAACCAUGGUGAGUGCUCAUGCCUACUCCAAUUUGCUACAAUGUCCAUUGAAUUAGCAAGUGUUUGUAUCACCCAUUGGAUCAAAAAGUUUUAUGUUUUCGUGUAUCAAUUUAUCUCGAGCAUCUUCAAAAUGUUUAUUGUUAAACAAACAGACAACAAUGGGAGAUUUAGAUGGAACAUCAUCGUCAUGGAUCAACCAAAAUGAACCAAAUUGGCCUCAAGCUCCACCAAGGUACAUAAUAUUCAUCAUUAUUUAACUUCUUCUUCUUCUUGUUCACACUAAAUGAAUUCAUUAUGUUUGAAUAUAGGUAUCUGCCUAAUUUAUUUGAUCCUCAAUGUGCCAAUCAUUUGAGGUAAGCUAAAAUGAUAUCAAAUGCUUAGUGGAUUAAUAGCAAAGAAUUAUGCAUAUGUAUGAAGAAAUCACUAACAAAUGUUGCUUAUUUAGGGACCAACAAAGGACUAAUUAUCAGUUACCAAUGAGCAAUCAAGUGCCUGCGAUGCUACCUGGACCUCAACCUCCAAUGAAUCAAUGGUACUAACCUCGAAUAUACACUUUUUUAAUCAUGAAAACAAUGAACUUGACCAAAAUUGAGCUCUCUGUCUCUCUAGAAAAUCAACCAAGUGAUUUAACUAUUUGAAUAUUUUUCAGGCAUCAGAACUCUAUUAAUCAACCUCAGCCGGGACAUGACUAUAUGACACUGAACACAUCCACUUCACAACAUGGUGGCUUCAAUCAACAUGGACCUUCCUUUCCUCCUCCCUGGUAUCCAAUUUUUCAUUUUUAGUAUUUUCUGUAAAAAAAAUUAGUUUUUCAAUCAGGAAAGUAACAUCAUAGCUUGAACAUGAACCCAGCAAGAUAAUCGUAAGUUUGUUUACGAAUGAUUUUGGAUUCAGGAUUCGAACUUUUUCUAAUGAAGGACAAGUACAUCAAGCUGCUGUAAUUCCUAACAUAGACAAUGUGCAACAAGAGAACUUCGUGCCUAGGUACUGACUGACUUCUAGCUGUUGAUUUUUAUUGCUUAAGAGAGACUACCAAUUAUAUCACUUCAUUUUUAUAUAGGUCACAGAUGGAUAACCUACAAGUCCGAGGAUUGCAAAAUCAAAUUGCUAGGCCAAAUGCCUCAAAUACUCAACAAGUAAGAAGUCUAACUGAAUUAUCGUCGUCUUUUCCCCCUAUGAUUGUGCAACAAACAAACUAUCAAUUUUAAUAGCAAAAUAAGGGUAACUUCCAUCAAUUUUUAUUCUUUAUUUUGACCCCGGUUUUUUUUCUAUAGGUCGAAACGGUUGGAUCAAAGUAUCCAUUUCGGAUUCAUGUUGAAUAUAGGGCUGAUGGUAGCAUGAAGUGUAAGUUUUGUCAACGUACAUGGGCCAAUAAAACUUCCAUUUCAAGGUUCAAAUGGCAUUUAUCAGGAGAGGAAGGGCGUGGUGUUGCCAUUUGUCGUGGGGUGACUAAAGAAGUUAAAGAAGCAGCCUUUCUAGCUAUAUGUGGUGGCCACAAAAGACAAAAAAUCACAGCAAGUUCAGUCAAUGUUAAUGACUGUGGAAUUCCAACAUGUCUACAAGAACUAAACAUUGAGAAUGAAAAUACGGGAGGGGGUGUUGGAAGGGUACAAAGAGAAGUUCAGGUUGUAGAACCCGGAGUGGUGGAAGAGAGGAUUUCUUCACAUGCAAUAGCAGGAAACGACGUAGGAAGCAUGACCGGAAUGAGAGCACAAGAAGAUAGGGUUUCCGAAGGGGCGCUCGAGAGCAGACUGAGGACAGAACCAGUGGAUCGAUCGUUGGAACAAAGCAAUGCAGUACUUGGCAAUGUGGCAGGGGGAGCUAGAAGGAUACAAGUGGGAGUUCAGGGCAUGGAACAAGAUCCAGGAGAAGAGAGAAUUCAGUCGCAUCUACAAGCGGAAAAUGGCAUGGAAAACACUGGUGAAGGAUCUUUUCAGCAUGAUGCAUUUGAGACUGUACCAAGAACAGAGAAAGUGCAGACUCUGGAGCCUGGAGGAGAUUCAUCCCAAUUUUGUCAUGGCAUUGGAAGAUGUUAUGAUCAACCUUGUGCUCCAUCAGUAAACAAUGAUGUAACUAGUCAUGAUGAGCAGCAUAUGGUUAGAGUGAUGACACAACCAGUGCAGGAAGAGGAGGAUGUGGAGAAUAGUGGAAGAUCAGUAGUGCAGGCUGGCGCAGGAGCUAGAUCUUCUGAAAGUCUGAAGUACAACAAGACUAGAGGAGUUCCAUUACCUACUAGCUCUACAAAGCCAGUGGGUCAAGCAUUUGAAGAGAACACGAAGGUGAUAUGGUCUUUGUUAAUGGAUGAUGAAGUCCCAACCAUUGGUAUUUAUGGGAUGGGGGGAGUUGGUAAAAC